rnacentral:rRNA from 1 species
AUAUCAAUAAGCGGAGGAAAAGAAACCAACAGGGAUUGCCCCAGUAACGGCGAGUGAAGCGGCAAUAGCUCAAAUUUGAAAUCUGGCCCUUUCAGGGUCCGAGUUGUAAUUUGCAGAGGGCGCUUUGGCGUCGGCAGCAGCCUAAGUUCCUUGGAACAGGUCAUCAUAGAGGGUGAGAAUCCCGUAUGUGGCUGCUUGCCUUCGCCGUGUAAAGCCCCUUCGACGAGUCGAGUUGUUUGGGAAUGCAGCUCUAAAUGGGAGGUAAAUUUCUUCUAAAGCUAAAUAUUGGCCAGAGACCGAUAGCGCACAAGUAGAGUGAUCGAAAGAUGAAAAGCACUUUGGAAAGAGAGUCAAAAAGCACGUGAAAUUGUUGAAAGGGAAGCGCUUGCAGCCAGACGUGCCCGCAGUUGCUCAUCCGGGGUUUUCCCCGGUGCACUCUUCUGCGGGCAGGCCAGCAUCAGUCCGGGCGGUUGGAGAAAGACCUGUGUCAUGUAGCUCUCUUCGGGGAGUGUUAUAGGGCAGGUGGAAUGCGACCAGCCUGGACUGAGGUCCGCGCAUCUGCUAGGAUGCUGGCGUAAUGGCUGUAAGCGGCCCGUCUUGAAACACGGACCAAGGAGUCUAACAUCUAUGCGAGUGUUUGGGUGUCAAGCCCGAGCGCGUAAUGAAAGUGAACGGAGGUGGGAACCCCUCGGGGUGCACCAUCGACCGAUCCUGAUGUCUUCGGAUGGAUUUGAGUAAGAGCAUAGCUGUUGGGACCCGAAAGAUGGUGAACUAUGCCUGAAUAGGGUGAAGCCAGAGGAAACUCUGGUGGAGGCUCGCAGCGGUUCUGACGUGCAAAUCGAUCGUCAAAUUUGGGCAUAGGGGCGAAAGACUAAUCGAACUAUCUAGUAGCUGGUUCCUGCCGAAGUUUCCCUCAGGAUAGCAGUAACGUUUUCAGUUUUAUGAGGUAAAGCGAAUGAUUAGAGGCCUGGGGGUUGAAACAACCUUCACC